rnacentral:rRNA from 1 species
CCUUGCGCGAUUGAAUGAGCCGAUGUCGGAUUAGCUAGUUGGCGGGGUAAAGGCCCACCAAGGCGACGAUCCGUAGCUGGUCUGAGAGGAUGUAUCAGCCACACUGGAACUGAGACACGGUCCAGACUCCUACGGGAGGCAGCAGUGGGGAAUAUUGGCCAAUGGGCGCAAGCCUGAUCCAGCCAUACCGGCGUGGGUGAAGUAAGGCCUUCGGGUUGUAAAGCCCUUUUGUUGGGAAAGAAAUCCAGCCGGCUAAUACCUGGUUGGNGAUGACGGGUACCCAAAGAAUAAGNNACCGGCUAACUUCGUGCCANCAGCCGCCGGUAAAUACCGAANUGGGUGCCAAGCGGUNUANUCCGGGAAUUUACCUUGGGGCGUUAAAGCCNUUGCNUGAAGGNUGGGGUUUGUUUUUAAAGUUCCUGGUUUGNUGGAAAAAGGCCCCUGNGGGCCNUCAAAACCUUNGGGGGAAAACUUG